rnacentral:misc_RNA from 1 species
UACGUAAGUGGCAAACGUUGUCCGGAAUCACUGGGCGUAAAGAGCAUGUAGGCGGCAUCGUAAGUCCGAGGUGAAAUCCAAGGGCCCAACCCUUGAACUGCCUUGGAAACUGCGGCGCUAGAGGUCCGGAGGGGAAUGCGGAAUUCCGGGUGUAGCGGUGAAAUGCGUAGAUAUCCGGGAGAACAUCAAUGGCGAAGGCAGCAUUCUGGCCGGUUCCUGACGCUGAGAUGCGAAAGCCAGGGGAGCGAACGGG